GACGAACGCUGGCGGCGUGCCUAAUACAUGCAAGUAGAACGCUGAGGGAGGAGCUUGCUUCUCUGGAUGAGUUGCGAACGGGUGAGUAACGCGUAGGUAACCUGCCUGGUAGCGGGGGAUAACUAUUGGAAACGAUAGCUAAUACCGCAUAAGAGUAGAUGUUGCAUGGCAUUUGCUUAAAAGGUGCAAUUGCAUCACUACCAGAUGGACCUGCGUUGUAUUAGCUAGUUGGUGAGGUAACGGCUCACCAAGGCAACGAUACAUAGCCGACCUGAGAGGGUGAUCGGCCACACUGGGACUGAGACACGGCCCAGACUCCUACGGGAGGCAGCAGUAGGGAAUCUUCGGCAAUGGACGGAAGUCUGACCGAGCAACGCCGCGUGAGUGAAGAAGGUUUUCGGAUCGUAAAGCUCUGUUGUAAGAGAAGAACGAGUGUGAGAGUGGAAAGUUCACACUGUGACGGUAUCUUACCAGAAAGGGACGGCUAACUACGUG
rnacentral:rRNA from 1 species